rnacentral:lncRNA from 1 species
ACAAGGAUAUAUAUAUAAGGCUUAUAGAAGUGUCCGUAAUAUACAAUCAGCUUCUUAAUUUCUUUCAGAAUUUAGUAUUAGUUAAAUAUAAUUUUCGCGUCUUAAAAUUUUUUUUUCUGUACUAAAUAUGCCAGUACUUAAGCACAGCAGCAGCUUAUAGAGGCAGAAUCCGAUUAGAAUACUUAGACAUUUAUUUUUUAUAUUAUCUUCAUUAA